rnacentral:rRNA from 1 species
UACGGAGGGAGCUAGCGUUGUUCGGAUAUACUGGGCGUAAAGCGCCCGUAGGCGGCGCAGCAAGUCAGGGGUGAAAUCCCGGAGCUCAACUCCGGAACUGCCUUUGAAACUGCAGUGCUAGAAUCCUGGAGAGGCGAGUGGAAUUCCGAGUGUAGAGGUGAAAUUCGUAGAUAUUCGCAAGAACACCAGUGGCGAAGGCGGCUCACUGGCUCGAUACUGACGCUGAGGUGCGAAAGCGUGGGGAGCAAACAGG